rnacentral:rRNA from 1 species
CGAACGGUGAUCCAGGGGCUUGCUCUUGGUGAUCAGUGGCGAACGGGUGAGUAACACGUGAGUAACCUGCCCCUGACUCUGGGAUAACCGCUGGAAACGGUGGCUAAUACCGGAUAUGAAACGCUUCCGCAUGGUGGUGUUUGGAAAGAUUUUUUGGUCAGGGAUGGACUCGCGGCCUAUCAGCUUGUUGGUGGGGUAAUGGCCUACCAAGGCGACGACGGGUAGCCGGCCUGAGAGGGCGACCGGCCACACUGGGACUGAGACACGGCCCAGACUCCUACGGGAGGCAGCAGUGGGGAAUAUUGCACAAUGGGCGAAAGCCUGAUGCAGCGACGCCGCGUGAGGGAUGAAGGCCUUCGGGUUGUAAACCUCUUUCAGCAGGGAAGAAGCGCAAGUGACGGUACCUGCAGAAGAAGCGCCGGCUAACUACGUGCCAGCAGCCGCGGUAAUACGUAGGGCGCAAGCGUUGUCCGGAAUUAUUGGGCGUAAAGAGCUCGUAGGCGGUUUGUCGCGUCUGCUGUGAAAACCUCAGGCUCAACCUGGGGCUUGCAGUGGGUACGGGCAGACUAGAGUGCGGUAGGGGAGACUGGAAUUCCUGGUGUAGCGGUGGAAUGCGCAGAUAUCAGGAGGAACACCGAUGGCGAAGGCAGGUCUCUGGGCCGCAACUGACGCUGAGGAGCGAAAGCAUGGGGAGCGAACAGGAUUAGAUACCCUGGUAGUCCAUGCCGUAAACGUUGGGCACUAGGUGUGGGGCUCAUUCCACGAGUUCCGUGCCGCAGCAAACGCAUUAAGUGCCCCGCCUGGGGAGUAC